rnacentral:rRNA from 1 species
UUACACGGCCAUACCACGUUGAACACACAGUCUCUCGUCCGAUCACUGACAGUUAAGCAAACGUCGGGCCCGGUUAGUACUUUUGGAUGGGUGACCGAACUGGGGAACCCCGGGUGCUGUUGUAU